AGAGUUUGAUCCUGGCUCAGGAUGAACGCUGGCGGCGUGCUUAACACAUGCAAGUCGAACGAGCCUUCGGGCUAGUGGCGGACGGGUGAGUAACGCGUGAGAAUCUCCCUCAGGAGGGGGAUAACGGCUGGAAACGGCCGCUAAUACCCCAUAUGCCGCGAGGUGAAAUGAGAAAUCGCCUGAGGAUGAGCUCGCGUCUGAUUAGCUAGUUGGUGGGGUAAGAGCCUACCAAGGCAUCGAUCAGUAGCUGGUCUGAGAGGAUGAUCAGCCACACUGGGACUGAGACACGGCCCAGACUCCUACGGGAGGCAGCAGUGGGGAAUUUUCCGCAAUGGGCGCAAGCCUGACGGAGCAACGCCGCGUGAGGGAUGAAGGCCUCUGGGCUGUAAACCUCUUUUCUCAAGGAAGAAGAACUGACGGUACUUGAGGAAUAAGCCACGGCUAAUUCCGUGCCAGCAGCCGCGGUAAUACGGGAGUGGCAAGCGUUAUCCGGAAUUAUUGGGCGUAAAGCGUCCGCAGGCGGUCUUGAAAGUCUGUUGUUAAAGCGUGGAGCUCAACUCCAUUUCAGCAAUGGAAACUAGAAGACUAGAGUGUGGUAGGGGCAGAGGGAAUUCCCGGUGUAGCGGUGAAAUGCGUAGAUAUCGGGAAGAACACCAGUGGCGAAGGCGCUCUGCUGGGCAUAACUGACGCUCAUGGACGAAAGCCAGGGGAGCGAAAGGGAUUAGAUACCCCUGUAGUCCUGGCCGUAAACGAUGAACACUAGGUGUCGGGGGAAUCGACCCCCUCGGUGUCGUAGCCAACGCGUUAAGUGUUCCGCCUGGGGAGUACGCACGCAAGUGUGAAACUCAAAGGAAUUGACGGGGGCCCGCACAAGCGGUGGAGUAUGUGGUUUAAUUCGAUGCAACGCGAAGAACCUUACCAGGGUUUGACAUCCUGCGAAUCUUUUGGAAACAGAAGAGUGCCAUCGGGAGCGCAGAGACAGGUGGUGCAUGGCUGUCGUCAGCUCGUGUCGUGAGAUGUUGGGUUAAGUCCCGCAACGAGCGCAACCCACGUCUUUAGUUGCCAGCAUUAAGUUGGGCACUCUAGAGAGACCGCCGGUGAUAAACCGGAGGAAGGUGUGGAUGACGUCAAGUCAUCAUGCCCCUUACAUCCUGGGCUACACACGUACUACAAUGCUACGGACAGAGGGCAGCAAACUCGCGAGAGCUAGCAAAUCCCAUAGACCGUGGCUCAGUUCAGAUCGUAGGCUGCAACUCGCCUACGUGAAGGAGGAAUCGCUAGUAAUCGCAGGUCAGCAUACUGCGGUGAACACGUUCCCGGGCCUUGUACACACCGCCCGUCACACCAUGGAAGUUGGCCAUGCCCGAAGUCGUUACUCCAACCCUUGUGGAGGAGGACGCCGAAGGUGGGGCUGAUGACUGGGGUGAAGUCGUAACAAGGUA
rnacentral:rRNA from 1 species